AACAUAACGCUAAUGAUUAUUUUCCCCCCUCAGGGUGAAGUGCAAAGGAUCGGGUUUUUUUCCUAGAAGAGAGUGGGAGAACAGUCUCAAUUUGCUCUAAAUGCUCUGAUCUUCAGCUGGCAAAAUAUAAAAUGGAGUGUGUCACUGAAGUUGCUUUUGAGCGGAGAUGGGGCCCAACCCAAACCCUUGGAUCUAAACGCAAGGUCCAGGUUCAGAUCUGAGUUCACAGCUUUAACCUCGUUCCUGAAGAUGUGGCAUCAGGCCUGCGAGCUCCAGCACACGUCGUGUUUGCAUUUCAAAGCCCAGCUCCAGGGAUUUACUUCUGCCUGUCGGAGUGGUGAAAGUGGUGCUGGCCCUAAGGCUUUGGGGUGCUUCCAGCCUGACAGGAAACCUGGGUGGGAUUGUGGGGUCAAAACGGGGUUGUAGACCCCGGAGAGCUGUGGGUCAGUAAUAUUAAAAUAACACAUGUUGAAGAAAUCUGGGGAACAGCUUUGGACCAGUCUAAACCCUCACAAGGUAGAUGCUGGGCUGUGCUUGACCAAGCAAUGUCUUUUGGGGGGGUUGCAGCCCUUUGGCAUGGCUUGGAAGAGGAUGUGCUUCCAAAGAAGAUUAUUUUUGUGUGUGUGAAAUGUAUAAAAAGUGCACAGCACAAAGUGUUGCCUUUGCUAGAUGUUUGAACUGCUUCUUGUGGAAAAAAAAUGGUGUUUUUUUUUCUUUUUUUUUUUUUCCCUACAGUUUUUGAUAUAUUUCUCCUUUUUUUAUGUAAGCUCCUUAAGCACUGGCAAACAACAUGUACUUUUCUGUACUCGCCGGCACAUUCCCAUUCCAAUGAGCUAGCUGGGCUCUUUCCUUUAUAUCAUUGAGUGAAAUCACACGGAACAAAAAUAAUCAUAUUUAAGCAGUUUGAAGUAUACUUUUUCUGUGGUUUACCUUUACCAUCUCCUAGUAAAAUAUAAUUUCUUCUUUAACAGCAGAUGAAAAAAGCCAUUAUAGCUUUAAAGCAUGAGAUUAUAAAAGACUGCAGCUAGUUUAGAUCUCACAGUUAGAAGUUAAUUCUAAGUCACUGGAAUUGAAAACAUCAGUUUACAACAUUUACUGGCUUGCUAUAAAAAUGUAUUCCCCUGUGUUAUGUUAAACAUGAGAAACUACACCUCAGUGUGUCCAUUAUUUAUAUAUUUAUUCAUAUCUUGCUGCUUCUGAUUCAGCUGUGUAACUGUAUGCAAAACAGAUAAUUACUGGGGAACAGAAUAAUUUGUAUAUGGAGGGGA